GCAUAUCAAUAAGCGGAGGAAAAGAAAAUAACAAUGAUUCCCCUAGUAACGGCGAGUGAAGAGGGAUUAGCUCAAAUUUAAAAUCUGCUGGGUUUACCUAUCAGAGUUGUAAUUUGAAGGGGCGUUUUCCGCGUCAUUGUUGGUCCAAAUCCUUUGGGAUAAGGUAUCAUGGGGGGUGAGAAUCCCGUCCGGCCGACAUCAUGAUGUUUUACGAUACGCUUUCAAAGAGUCGAGUUGUUUGGGAUUGCAGCUCAAAAUGGGAGGUAAAUUUCUCCUAAGGCUAAAUAUUGGCGAGAGACCGAUAGCGAACAAGUACCGUGAGGGAAAGAUGAAAAGAACUUUGAAAAGAGAGUUAAAAAGUACGUGAAAUUGUUGAAAGGGAAACGAUUGAAGUCAGUCGUACCGACGAGAAAUCAGCUUUUCGAAUGUGCAUUUGUGGGCGUAUGAGAUCUUCAUUGUUUGCAAUAUGUAUGUUUCUUUGGUGUAUUUUUUCGUAUGGUAGGUCAGCGUCGGUUUUGGUCGCCAUAAAAUGACCGGAGGAAUGUAGCUUCGGCUUCGGUUGAAGUGUUAUAGCCUUUGGUAGAUGUGGUGAUUAGGACCGAGGAUUGCAACGAAUACCUUUUAGGCUAUCCGUCUGUCCUCUGAAAGUUACUUAGGUGCCGAAAGCUUGCUUACGGUCAUUUAAGUUGACGGUCAAUAGGUUAGAACGUGAUUACAUUCGUUAAGGACGUUGACGUAAUGGCUUUAAACGAC
rnacentral:rRNA from 1 species